rnacentral:rRNA from 1 species
AAAACAUUUCUUUAUGAAUAUAAUUAUAAGUAGUCUCUGCCCAAUGAAUUUUUAAUGGCUGCAGUAUUUUGACUGUACAAAGGUAGCAUAAUCAAUUGUUCUUUAAUUAAGAUCUGGAAUGAAGGAGGUAAUGAAUUAAAAUCUUUAUUUAAUUUAUAAAUUGAAUUUAAAUUUAAAGUUAAAAUUCUUUAAUAAAUUUAUGGGACGAGAAGACCCUAUAGAAUUUUAUUUUUUUUUAUUAAUUUAAAUUAAUUUAAGUGUUAAUAGAAAAAAUUUAUUUGGGAGGAAUAUUAAAUUUAUAAACUUUAUUAAAUAAUUUAACAAUAAUAAUUGAUUUUAUAGAUUUUAUUAAUAAAUAUUAAAUUAAAUUACCUUAGGGAUAACAGCAUAAUAUUUUUGGAAAGAUCAUAUUUAUAAAAAUGUUU